GCCGCAAUCACAAAGGACAUGGCCAGGACAGUCUCGUUUCCCCCUAUUGAAGCCACCACCGCUUCGAAACUCAUCAAGAACUGGCAUGGGUCUAUUUUACCAUUAAAUUUGGGGAUUGUGAUCGGUUUGUAUGACGCCGGCCAUGGCAAAGCUUGCAGUCCCUCGGACAGCGGAGAUCUCAAAUUCAUGGUCCCCCGAAUUGUGCCGCCAUAGCUCACGGGCUGCAUGUUCACAGCGGCGGUGAUGUUGUUGGGCUCUCCACAGGUU
rnacentral:lncRNA from 1 species